UACGGGGGGGGCAAGCGUUGUUCGGAAUUACUGGGCGUAAAGGGCCCGUAGGUGGCCAACUAAGUCAGACGUGAAAUCCCUCGGCUUAACCGGGGAACUGCGUCUGAUACUGGAUGGCUUGAGUUCGGGAGAGGGAUGCGGAAUUCCAGGUGUAGCGGUGAAAUGCGUAGAUAUCUGGAGGAACACCGGUGGCGAAGGCGGUUCUCUGGGCAUGACCUGACGCUGAGGAGCGAAAGUGUGGGGAGCGAACAGG
rnacentral:rRNA from 1 species